CCUCAGCUGCACUUCCGUCGGCGCUGCGUGUUUGGAGCAGUGUUCCGCUCGCGUGGCUGCACUUCCCGCGUGUCCUCCCAAUCUGCCGGCAUCCACGCACCUCCGCGCCUUCCCACACUCUUGGCUGUAUCUCCGCCGUUGUCCCGUGCCGUCUGUUGCAGCUUCCUCGGUGAGUUCCCUGCGGGGAGCGCUUACUACGUGGCCUGCUUCUCCUGCCCCCUGUUAAGGAGGAAACUGAGGCCCGAGGGGGUGGGAAGGGCCACGCGCAAAUUAGUUCAGAUCCCAGAUUCGCUCCCAUUUUUGAGCCCGGUUCCAAGCUCUCUUUCUCUGCCUCGCUCUGUGGACUUUUCGGGAUUCGAGCUCUCGACAAAGGGACCUCGAGUCAUGGGGCCACAGGCCGGCGCCGCUUCGGAAAGUCGGGCCCUCGGCCUUACCCACCACGUGGGGAGACUUGUCCUGCUGUCCUGUGAGAGAUGUGGUCAGGAAGAGCCUGGACUAUGAGCCUCAGGUAAGUGAUGGCCUGUUGGUUCUCUAGAGCUUGAGUUCCUUGCAGGCUGCGAUAGCAGAGGUGUUGGGUAAUGAGAUGGGGGUGUGUGUGUGAGAGAGAGUACAGUGGGGCUGCUUCCCAGUGUCCUCCACCUGGGCCUGAUUCUGCUCCUGCUCCUGGGAGCCCCUGAUGCUGCUGUGGUGGCGAGAGGUUGGUAUUUGUGCUGUGAGUCUUCCCUGAGGCUUUUGGUAGGGACUGUAAGUUGUCAGCAGUGGCUCUGUCAUCUUGGUUGUAAGUCUGGGCCAUGACUGUCUGCUGGUCUGUCCUGGUCCAGGCCGUUUCCUGGGGUUCUGAUAGUGGCCUCCCUUCCCAGCUCACCCCUGUAUUCGAAAGUGAUGGUGGGCUGCCCGUGCCCUGGUCAUUGAUAGUGCAGGGAGAGGAACUGCCGAAAGCACUUCCCCGUGUUUGGAGGGCCCGUCCUGUCCCUUACAAACUCUGGAGCUUUCGGACACGUCCACUGAGUGCCCCUUUUCCCGAGCAGGGCCCUGUCUCAGGAGUUUGUGUUUCUAGGCUGGUGGUGGAGCUACCCUGGGGCCCAUUGCCUCCUAGGGCUUCCUUCCUGGACCCUUGCUCUGCCUUCUCCUCACUCAGCCCUUCCCACAUCCUCAGCCCUGCUUCGGCACUAAUCCCUCCUGGACAGUGUGGACUUGUUGGGUGUCCCCCCCCCCAUGCUGUUAUCUUGAGGGCAGUGCCUCUGUCGUGUUUUGCGUUGUGUGUGUUGCCUGAUGUAUGGCACCUGGACAGAAAUAACAACUGAAGAGCUGGUGGUGACACAGUUGGUUGGUACAGGGUGCUGGGGCCCAGGGCUUCUCCUAUUGCAGGGUCAGGGAGCCAUGCCCUCCAGCAGGCCAGCCUGUGGGGGUUGAGGCUGUCUCUUUUCUCACUGGAAGUGUUGAGUUUGUAACGAAAGGUAGACUUGUUAUCAUCUACUUUUGAUCCUGGCCACGGGCAGGGCCUGUGGCCCUUUGGGGGUGAUUUCCUAGUAACUGACCUGCACGAAGCACAGAAUAGUCAAGGCUGUGUAUGUCCAUGGCCCUUAUACUAGAUGGUAGACAGGGGUCCACCACCUGCUACCUUUCCCCAUCCAUGCUAGUUGCUGCCAGUCAGCCCUGGUAUGUUCCCCCAAACCUGGUCUUUUAACAGGAUUGGUUGGCAACAAAUUAAUCACAGUUGGCACAUCAGAUAGCAUGGGUGUUACUCCUGUCCUAGGUGAUCUGUGGACCCCUUCCUAGAAUUAAGUUGUCUUGUUCUGAGACAGUAGGUGUGGCCAUUCAGGUACUACAGUAACAGCCCAGGUUUGUGGGUGCCAGGACCUGCCAGCUCCCGUGCCAAGUGUUAUCUAUCCAUCAGGGCCUGCUGUGAGCGCCUGUUCACGACGUUCUUUCAGGUGGAUCUGUGUACACAGGCUCCGUGGGAGGUUCCUCUUCAUGUCAGCCAGGCGCUAGACCCUGGGGCCUCAGAUGUGUUCGUGCUCGUGGAAGGCUGAAACUCUGCAAUGGUGCUUUCAUUACUCUGUGACCCUGAAGAGGCAACACGGCGCCCUCUAGAGGCAUGACUGGCUCCCUGGUAGCAGGUGAGGUGACAUCUAGUUUGGCUGUGUAAACUGGGAGCUUGGGCCUGUUCCAUUGGGAUCCUCUGAGCUGUUACUUGAAGAUGGUGCUGGAAAGUAAUGCUUGUGGGCUGCUUCUAGAUUCAUCCACUAUGUGCACAGCAGCGGGACAGAGUGGAGAGGGAGGUCCCCACACGAAGCCUCACCAGGGGUCGCUGCCCUCUGCGCUGAGUCAUGGGAGAACCCUUCCCUCAGCACAGAGAUGAGGGGAAGCCCUGGGACUGGCGUCUCUUGAGUCCUGACACUGUCCUGGUUGGGGGUUGGGGGAGCUGUGAACGGGGAAGGCUGGCCCUGAGCCUCUCUGCUGCGCCUGGAUGACUUCAACCAGGAGUUUUUCUCUUGAGUUGGCAGCUGCUUGUCAAUCUGCUCUCCACCCAUCCAUUCAAUAAACUGUACACAAUCA